rnacentral:rRNA from 1 species
CGUGUAGGCGGCUUUGCAAGUCGGGUGUGAAAGCCCUCGGCUCAACCGAGGAAGUGCGCCCGAAACUGCAGAGCUUGAGUACCGGAGAGGAUGGCGGAAUUCCCCAAGUAGAGGUGAAAUUCGUAGAUAUGGGGAGGAACACCGGUGGCGAAGGCGGCCAUCUGGACGGAUACUGACGCUGAGACGCGAAAGCGUGGGGAGCAAACAGGAUUAGAUACCCUGGUAGUCCACGCCGUAAACGAUGAGAACUAGGUGUCGCGGGUGUUGACCCCUGCGGUGCCGUAGCCAACGCAUUAAGUUCUCCGCCUGGGAAGUACGGCCGCAAGGCUAAA